AUGACUAGGCACAGACAUCCCCUGCCCCGAACUCUCUUCCCCAAACUACCCAUCCCAUCUCUCGCGAGAAAAAUUCCCUACCGCCGUCCAGAUCGGAGAUCACCUCGGCCUCCUCCACCACGCGCCCGCUUCCUCCCAUGGUCGUGUCCUCCCGACCCACCCUCCUCUUCGCUCACCACGCCGGCACAGGCGGUCACGCGGGCGUCCAUUGAUCUGCAACUGUCACCGCCUUCAUAA
rnacentral:rRNA from 1 species